rnacentral:lncRNA from 1 species
AUGCAUGGAAUAGAUGAUUGAUAAUUUAACUGCUUUAGGGCUCCAAGAUUGGAGAUUAAACCCUUACCAACCCUUGCAGCAUUAUGGCCAGCAGAGGCUCGGCACGUUUGCCAUGUUUACAGCCGCGUUGACACUAGAUUCUAGCCAUGGACCACCAGUUUUCCCUGUUUACUAUGUAUAGGGUUCCUUUUUAUCACAGGCCUUUUCAUAAAGACAAACUAGAAAUCAAGUGUGCCCAGCUGUCGUCUAAGCCCUCUCGAUAGCUCGUGUGGCAAUAGAAUAUAAUAAUACCUGCAAUAAAUGGGGACGUACUAUCAUGGGUGGCAAGUGUUUGUUGACCUGGUGGAGAAACUGCUUUUAACUCCAUGUAUCCAGGUUACACAUCUGGACUGAAGGGGUGUUUGUUCCCAGUUCAAUCGUUUAAGUACGAGGUAGCAGAUUACUGAUGGUUUGGCUUGUGGCUUUUUGUUUCAUUUUAAUAAGAAUGAAAACAACAGACCAGUGGAAACCUGCUUUAAACCUGACACAGGAUCAGCCCAACGCGCCUCCACCAAGGCUGCGAGAGGUCGAGUUCCUUCCGAUCAUGAUCUUUAAAAUGUCUCUGGAUCCUCGAGAAGCAGCGAUCGGAGCCACUUGUUUGAAAAUCUAGAUAGGAAGGGAUGAUUUUAAAUUUGAUUCUUUUCAUAGGAGAGUAGUGAGGGUAGUUCUCAGCCACACACAGUUUCUGAGUGGCAGCAAAGGCUGAUUCACUUAAAAAUUGUCGAGAGCCAUGUGCUUUACGGCGUGUUCUGGGGGGACUUCAGUGGAGCCUGUAGAAGUAAUAAAAAGUAUUAAAAAGGCUUUCAUUCCAAAAAAAGAAGGGGAAAUGUUAAAGGUUUGCUAUAAGCAAUUUGGAAGGAAGAAAAAAUAAACCUAAGGUGCUUUUCAAAAGAGUAACGAAUUGUUCUGGGCUAAAACAGCAAUACUGUGCUCAUUAGUUCAGUAAGAAUGGCGAAGCUGUCCUCUCGCCAAUACACUGAGUAAAUUCAUGGUGAAAACCACGUAACAUGUUUUAAUGAGCCACUUGAGGGAGAACACGCUCAUUGCUAAGACAGUGUGCAGAAAAAUCCUUGCACGUCUAUGCAUCAACCGUUAGCUAUAACUGCUGCCGUUGUCUUUCCCCACGGCCUACAACUGUGGUCUAGAAAUUGGGAUAAAAUUCCCUUCUUUUCUUGGGAAAGACCAAUGAGCACAAUGGUGUUAGUCACUUAAUUUUUCUGAUGAAUAAUAAAUGCAAUAACUAGCUCCUGGUCGAGAAGCUGUCUGUUUGUUUGUCUGUCUAUCUAAAUAUUCUUGACACUUUGAAAUGUCGUAGUUCUAUCAAUGACCAGUUACAUUGACGUAAAAUUUCUCGAACCUUUGAUUGACGGGUCUUACUACCACAUGCUGCUGCUUACAUGAAAAAGCCUGCCUUUUAAGUAAUGUGUUUCCUGUGUCUGUAGGAGUGAGUUCUCUGAGUUUUUAACAUGACUAGAGUCCCACUGUCAAAAUGUACACCCACCCCCCAACCCCACCCCACCCUGCACUGUCUUGUAGACAUCUGGGAGAACCUGCCUGCUAGCAUUGCAAAUGAGUCUACUUGUUUAGCUCUCCUGCCCAACGUGGUGGGUACCUCCUCCCCUCCAUCCGCCGCCCCCCCUCCCCACUUCAGAGCUCUGCCACCUUCUGACAGUAUUCACUCCUGUACCUGCAGGCCUGAAUUCAGAGCUUAGGGUUACACAGAACCCAGAUUGGUCCGUUUCCCUGAGGUUUCUGCUGUCAAAGGAGAUCGUUUCUUAGUGAUACCCAGUCUUUCAAUGCAGGCAUAUUUACAUUUCUGAGUAAAACCUGUGUAUUUAUGGGAAAUAAAGGCAUGUUUAAAAUUACAUAGACGUAGUGUUGCUUAUUGCAAAGUGGAGAAGGGGAACCUAACUAUAACGAUAUUUUUUGAGGGUUUUUUUUAUAAUGAUAUUUUAGUCAUUGUUGAAAGCUCACAGUUUAGUCCAUAAUGUUUUACCAAAAUCCAAUGGUGACCCACAGAUUCCCAAAGACCAAGACGUGGUGAAAACAGUUGUUUUCUUGAGAGUACUCUUUGAAGCAAGCCUACCGAAAAUACAUCUGAGAGUAUUUAAUGUCUAAUUACACUAUUUUGCUGUAGCCGAAGAGGCCACUUUUGUAUUUAACCUAAAGAAAACAAGAAAACAAAGUCCACUUUUAUCCUAAAAGAA